rnacentral:rRNA from 1 species
CACGGAGUUAGCCGGUCCUUAUUCUUACGGUACCGUCAGUCCGCCUCACGAGGCGGGGUUUCUUCCCGUAUAAAAGCAGUUUACACACCAUAGAUGCUUCAUCCUGCACGCGGCAUGGCUGGUUCAGGCUUGCGCCCAUUGACCAAUAUUCCUCACUGCUGCCUCCCGUAGGAGUCUGGUCCGUGUCUCAGUACCAGUGUGGGGGAUCUCCCUCUCAGGACCCCUACCCAUCGUAGCCUUGGUAAGCCGUUACCUUACCAACUAGCUAAUGGGACGCAUGCUCAUCUUUUACCGUUGUGACUUUAAUAUAUAAAUGAUGCCAUUCACAUAUACCAUGGGGUAUUAAUCCAAAUUUCUCUGGGCUAUCCCCCUGUAAAAGGUAGAUUGCAUACGCGUUACGCACCCGUGCGCCGGUCUCAAGCUAGCAAGCUAACUCUACCCCUCGACUUGCAUGUGUUAAGCCUGCCGCUAGCGUUCAUCCUGAGCCACGGAGUCAAACUAC